UUCCUUCGGGACAGGAGAGACAGGUGGUGCAUGGUUGUCGUCAGCUCGUGUCGUGAGAUGUUGGGUUAAGUCCCGCAACGAGCGCAACCCUUAUCUUUAGUAGCCAGCGGAUAAAGCCGGGCACUCUAGAGAGACUGCCAGGGUGAACCUGGAGGAAGGUGGGGAUGACGUCAAAUCAUCAUGCCCCUUAUGUCUUGGGCUACACACGUGCUACAAUGGCUGCGACAGAGGGAAGCGAAGGGGCGACCUGGAGCGAAACCCAAAAAAGCAGUCCCAGUUCGGAUUGUAGUCUGCAACUCGACUACAUGAAGUCGGAAUCGCUAGUAAUCGCGAAUCAGCAUGUCGCGGUGAAUACGUUCCCGGGUCUUGUACACACCGCCCGUCACACCAUGGGAGUCGGGAGCACCCGAAGCCGGUGACCUAACCAUAUGGGAGGAGCCGUCGAAGGUGAAACCGAUGACUGGGGUGAAGUCGUAACAAGGUAGCCGUAUCGGAAGGUGCGGCUGGAUCACCUCCUUUCUAAGGAA
rnacentral:rRNA from 1 species